UGAGCAACCUGCCCUUGACUCUGGAAUAACAGCUGGAAACAGCUGCUAAUACCGGAUACGACCUCCGAUGGCAUCAUCUGGAGGUGGAAAGCUCCGACGGUCAAGGAUGGGCUCGCGGCCUAUCAGCUAGUUGGUGUGGGUAAUGGCCCACCAAGGCGACGACGGGUAGCCGGCCUGAGGGGGUGACCGGCCACACUGGGACUGAGACACGGCCCAGACUCCGUAGGAG
rnacentral:rRNA from 1 species